rnacentral:rRNA from 1 species
AUUGAACGCUGGCGGCAUGCUUUACACAUGCAAGUCGGACGGCAGCACAGAGAAGCUUGCUUCUUGGGUGGCGAGUGGCGAACGGGUGAGUAACAUAUCGGAACGUACCGAGCAGUGGGGGAUAACUAAUCGAAAGAUUAGCUAAUACCGCAUAUCUUCUGAGGAAGAACGCAGGGGACCAUUUGGCCUUGCGCUGUUUGAGCGGCCGAUAUCUGAUUAGCUAGUUGGUGGGGUAAAGGCCUACCAAGGCGACGAUCAGUAGCGGGUCUGAGAGGAUGAUCCGCCACACUGGGACUGAGACACGGCCCAGACUCCUACGGGAGGCAGCAGUGGGGAAUUUUGGACAAUGGGCGCAAGCCUGAUCCAGCCAUGCCGCGUGUCUGAAGAAGGCCUUCGGGUUGUAAAGGACUUUUGUCAGGGAAGAAAAGGGCGGGGUUAAUACCCCUGUCUGAUGACGGUACCUGAAGAAUAAGCACCGGCUAACUACGUG